rnacentral:rRNA from 1 species
AUUGAACGCUGGCGGCAGGCCUAACACAUGCAAGUCGAGCGAGCGGCGGACGGGUGAGUAAUGUCUGGGAAACUGCCUGAUGGAGGGGGAUAACUACUGGAAACGGUAGCUAAUACCGCAUACCAUCAGAUGUGCCCAGAUGGGAUUAGCUAGUAGGUGGGGUAAUGGCUCACCUAGGCGACGAUCCCUAGCUGGUCUGAAAGGAUGACCAGCGACACUGGAAGAGAGAAACGGUCCACAACCCGACGGGAGGGAGCAGGUGGGAAUAUUGCACAAUGGGCGUAAGCCUGAUGCAGCCAUGCCGCGUGUAGGAAGAAGGCCUUCGGGUUGUAAAGUACUUUCAGCGGGGAGGCGUUACCCGCAGAAGAAGCACCGGCUAAAUCAGUGCCAGCAGCCGCGUAAUUC